rnacentral:rRNA from 1 species
GUGACGUCGAUCAGUAGAACC